AGGGAAAAUUCAUAGCGUUUGUGUCAGCACAAGCAGAGAGUGACAAUCCAGAGGCUGAACUGAAGCCAGGAAUCGAUCUUCUUGGGCCAGUUGACGAGUUGUUUUUCGACACAUAUGACAGAUAUGAACCUACUAAUGACCCUUCUUCGGACAAUUGUUUUAUAUCAACAAUAAGUUAUAGAUGAAGUAACAAUGUUCUGGUUUUCAAUAUUUAGCAAAUGGAAAAGCAUCUUCAAGAAUAUUUCAAUUUAUCUCAAUUUAAUUUUGUUCAGAGUUAUGAUGCCACAACACACUUUGAGUCUACCGUGAUGGAUGUUCUUUCGCUGUAUACAAAGAUCACCGGAAAGGUACAUUUUUAAAUGGAAACCUCAAUGCAAUUUCUGCAUUAGAGCAGCUUAUGAAAUUGUAUUAUUCCGAUCCAAAUUAAUUGACGUGCACUUAGUAAAACUUUAGUACAAAGUUCUACUAAGUGUGCGUCAAUUAAUUUGGAUUGAAGGGAGUACUAAAAAAUGUUUUUAUCGCAUUACAUAAAAAUAGUAUCACUCUGUUAUAUUAAAAAAUGUAUUUUGUCUAAACUUCUAUCAUGAUUCCUUGCUGUGCUAUACAAAUUUAAGGUUUCUUCUGCACUACAUUUCAUAGGAGCGAGUUCUUUGUUUUAGCGGUCAUAGGAAUUAGUUUUUUUAGGGCAAGUCGUAGGAACUAGUAAUUGUUACUUUUGGGGAGAGGGCUCUAAAUGAUUUCCACUACUAAGGGCUCAUUUGAUUUGGAAGACCCAAUCAGCAACAUUUGGUCCAAUUGGAGGCAGACUAUUUAUCUCUAUUUAAAAACCGAGCUCUGGCACGUCUACAAAUCCCUUCUUCCCUCUGCGAAGGGCCUAUCUAUUUACUUUUAUGUUGAGUCAUCACCCUCUUAUUAAAAAGCACCCGCUGGAGAGCACCGCUGUCAUUUGCAUGCAUUAUUAUUAAUUUAUAUUAGGUAUGACUAUGACUGGAUCUCUUUUACCAUGAAUUACAAUGUUUAGUCAGUCCUUGAUCUUUAAGGGUGCUCUGCAUUUAUGUUUUCUGGUCUCAUAAAGGGCUAGCGAGAUACCAUCUUGUUAUAUCAUAUUAUGAUUGUUUUGAGAAAGUGUUGUCAUUCGAGAUUUAUUAUUAUUGCUCGCUAGUUGAUUGUGCCAUUAAUAUGAGUAAACAUGAGACCUAAGUGUUAUUAUGAAUAUGGUUAGUUCAUAAUCUUUGCUGAAAACAUGAAUGUUGGCUUUACAUACUUGCAACAACAAGAGCAAACAGAGUUUGUAAAAGUUUUUCUUUAUCACUUUUAGUUUUUCAACUUAAUUGCUUGAGGACAGGCAAAGGUUUAAGGUUGGGGGAGUUGAUACGUCUCUGUCGUAUCUACUUUUCCAAACACUUUUGCCCUUUUUUGCACUCUAACUUGCAUGAUUUGAAUGGAACUAACCCGGACUGACGCUGUUUUCAGCAGAACGGCCAUGGUGUUAUUUUCAUGCAGAAAUAAAAGUUCUCAGAAUGACAUGAAAAUCCACGGAGCAACUUUUCAGAAUUAAUAAAAAAAACUAGCGAAAGAAUCAGCACUAGGGGCCCACACCCUGUCCACGAGGGUGGCCCCCCCUAGGGCGCGCCCCCUGCCUCGUGGGCCCCCUGGACCUCCACCGAUCUCAACUCCAACUCCAUAUAUUCACGUUCGCGGAGAAAAAAAUCAGAGAGAAAGAUUCAUCAUGUUUUAUCAUACGGAGCCGCCGCCAAGCCCUAAACUCUCUCGGGAGGGCUGAUCUGGAGUCUGUUCGGGGCUCCGGAGAGGGGGAUUUGACGCUGUCGUCAUCAUCAACCAUCCUCCAUCACCAAUUUCAUGAUGCUCACCGCCGUGCGUGAGUAAUUCCAUCGUAGGCUUGCUGGACGGUGAUGGGUUGGAUGAGAUUUACCAUGUAAUCAAGUUAGUUUUGUUAGGGUUUGAUCCCUAGUAUCCACUAUGUUCUGAGAUUGAUGUUGCUAUGACUUUGCUAUGCUUAAUGCUUGUCACUAGGACCCGAGUGCCAUGAUUUCAGAUCUGAACCUAUUAUGUUUUCAUGAAUAUAUGUGAGUUCUUGAUCCUAUCUAGCAAGUCUAUAGUCACCUAUUAUGUGUUAUGAUCCGAUAACCCCAAAGUGACAAUAAUCGGGAUACUUCACGGUGAUGACCGUAGUUUGAGGAGUUCAUGUAUUCACUAAGUACUAAUGCUUUGGUCUGGUACUCUAUUAAAAGGAGGCCUUAAUAUCCCUUAGUUUCCAUUAGGACCCCGCUUCCAUGGGAGGGUAGGACAAAAUAUGUCAUGCAAGUUCUUUUCCAGAAGCACGUAUGACUAUAUUCGGAAUACAUGCCUACAUUACAUUGAUGAAUUGGAGCUAGUUCUGUGUCACUAUCGGUGUUAAAACCGGCGGAUCUCGGGUAGGGGGUCCCAAACUUUGCGUCUAGGCGGAUGGUAACAGGAGACAAGGGACACGAUGUUUUUUCUUGAGGCUGCUCGCCGUGGCCAUAAGCCUGCGUUUGAAACGCUCUUGUUCGACGGGAUCCUCAGGCACGACAAAUUCGUCGUCGUCGAGGCUUGCCUCGCCUUCGGAGGGAGGCAUGUAAUUAUCGUCCUCUACCUCUCUGUCUAUCGCUCUCUCAUGAGGGAUGGCUUCUCCAUCCUCCUGUGCUGAAUCCUGCUCGAGGGGGUUGUCUUAGGCGCUGUCCGGGGUGUUAUUAUCUCCCGUGCCGGAAUUGCCGUUUUUUGCUUUGGCGGGAUUUAGAGCGGCGCCGCUGACGCUGGCGCUUAGGCUGCUUCUUGGAGGGGUCAUCCUCGGUUGUUCCAUCGCCAUUCCCUUCUUUUGGGGUGUCCACCAUGUAUAUGUAGUAUGAUGAGGUGGCCUUCUAGUGCCCUAUAGGCGCUGGUUCUUGGCCGUCUCUUGCAUCGCGUCCAUACCGUCGAUGUCUUCGGAGUCGAAGUCGAGCAUGUCGGUUAAAUCAUCGACAGUGGCUACGAAGUGGGUGGUGGGUGGGCUUUGAAUUUCUUUGUCGUCCGCAUCCCUACCUUGCUGACCAUAGUCCGGCCAGGGCUCUCCUGAUAAAGAGAGAGACUUUAGUGAAUUCAGAAUGUCGCCGAAGGGCGAGUGCUGAAAGAUGUCCGCGGCGGCGAACUCCAUGAUCGGCGCCCAAUCGGGUUCGAUCGGCAGGGGCGCGGAAGGUUCGGAGUCCGGAAAGGAGUCCGGCACCUUGGAGUCACGAGCUUUGCAAAGGCAAGGCUGGUAUUCGGCUCGAUCGCCAUGGAGAUUGCAGCCCCCGAGGCGGUGUCCAACCACCCAUCCUCGAUUGGCGCAGUCAGCUCCGAGCUAAGUGUCGGAGCGGACACUGGGGCGGCCUCCUGGGCACUAUUCGGCGGUAGAGCUAGAUCAUGCCCAUCGUGAAAGUGUGGCACGCUCGGCUAUGGCUCGAACCCGUCAAAGAUCAAGUCCCUACAGAUGUCAGCCGUGUAGUUCAAACUUCCAAAUCUGACCUGAUGGACAGGGGCGUAGCUUUUGAUCUGCUCCAGAUGGCCAAGUGAAUUGGCCCGCAGUGCAAAGCCGCCGAAUAAGAAGAUCUGUCCGGGGAGAAAAGUCUCACCCUGGACCGCAUCGUUGUUGAUGAUCGGAGGAGCCAUCGGGCCUAAAGAUGACGACACAGGGGAACUCUCAAUGAAAGCACCAAUGUCGGUGUCAAAACUGGCGGAUCUCGGGUAGGGGGUCCCGAACUGUGCGUCUAGGCAGAUGGUAACAGGAGACAAAGGACACGAUGUUUUUACCCAGGUUCGGGCCCUCUCGAUGGAGGUAAAACCCUACUCCUGCUUGAUUAAUAUUGAUGAUAUGGGUAGUACAAGAGUAGAUCUACCACGAGAUCAUAGGGCUAAACCAUAGAAGCUAGCCUACGGUAUGAUUGUUGUUCGUCCUACGGACUAAAACCCUCCGGUUUAUAUAGACACCGGAGAUGGCUAGGGUUACACAGAGUCGGUUACAAUGGGAGGAGAUCUACAUAUCCGUAUCGCCAAGUUUGCCUUCCACGCCAAGGAAAGUCCCAUCCGGACACGGGACGAAGUCUUCAAUCUUGUAUAUUCAUAGUCCAGGAGUUCGGUCAAAGGUUAUAGUCCGGUCAUCCGGACACCCCCUAAUCCAGGACUCCCUCACACCCUUUUUCUUCUAGUAUACAGCAAGCAGCUCCACACCUAUCCACACAAACAGGCAGCACAUCAACAAGCAGCCGGACAUCCUCCUUCUAUUGAUGCCACUGGCGCCAUUGGCGGAGGCAGAAAUUUUGAUUUGGGUGUACAUUUUUUAAAGCUAGGUGGUUUAACUAAUUAAGUAUAGGAUUAAUUUAGAGUCAUGAGCUCUUCUUCACCAAAUAAUGGGUGUACGUUUGUAUACCAAUGUCCUUAGCCCGCUCCGCUCAUGACUAAGGCACUCACAGCUCGCAGCACCUGCCUGGGCUUCCAUUCCUUUGCUACAGCAGCGGCCAACUGCUCUGCUAUCUUCGCCUCCGAGUGUCGGCUCCACACCACACCACCUAGGGUCCGCCCAUCAUUAUUACCAGUGCUCUGGUACCACGAAGAGCGCAUGGAAUUCCCUUGAUUCUAUUUUCUUCAAUUGCUACUUUGCUAGUUACAGAUGAAUACAUAUUUACACUACAAUGUACUUUUGGGCCACACACUCAUACAGCCCAACACCGAUUAAGAUGAAUUUCUGUAACAACCAACCAUUACAUGGAAAAGUAGAUUUUUUUCUACGUGAAUUUGUGUAAACUUCAAGCAAAGCAUUGAAGCACCACAAUGAAUAUUUAUGUCGUAUGUUCACUUGUGUCAUUUCAAUCGUAAAUAUGUAACUAGUCAGACAAUAUGUAUUUUCAGGUCGAAUUUGAUGAUGAAGGGAAAGUUCGUGGAGUUACAUCUGAAGGGGAGACAGCAAAAGGCAAGAAAGUUGUUUGUGAUCCGUCUUACGUACCUGAGAAGGUAAAAGCCACUCAUCUUCAUUAUUUGAACAAACAGAUACAGAGUAUUGCCCUGAAGAUAAUCUCCGAUGUCACUAACAUUAUGCUAUACUUUUCGUCAUACUGUUUCAACAACGGUACAAAUUAUUUAUGACAGAAAUUUUAUACCAAUCAAAGUCACUGUGCAUAAACAUCUUACAGUAAAGUUAAACAAAGGAAACAUGGGGCGAAUGAAGAAAUUUUGCAACUGAUAAGAAUUAUCUGCUCUAAUAACAGGUUAAAAAGGUUGGAAAGGUUUUCCGUGCAAUUGCUAUCAUGAGCCACCCGAUCCCAAAUACUGCUGAAUCUCACUCAGUACAGAUCAUAAUACCACAAAAGCAACUUGGCCGCAGACCAGACAUGCAAGUAUUCCAUGCAUUAUUGCCCUUUUUAUCUACUAUUACUUUGUCAUGUCACCUAAAUUUUAUUAUUUUGAAUCAUCACCAGGUAUGUUUUCUGCUGUUCCUACUCUCACAAUGUUGCAUCGAAGGGAAAAUUCAUAGCGUUUGUGUGAGCACAAGUAGAGAGUGACAAUCCAGAGGCUGAACUAAAGCCAGGAAUUGAUCUUCUUGGGCCAGUAGACGAGUUGCUUUUCGACACGUACGACAGAUAUGAACCUACUAAUGACCCUUCUUCGGACAAUUGUUUUAUAUCAACGGUAAGUUAUAGAUGAAGUAACAAUGUUCUGGUUUUCAAUAUUUAGC
rnacentral:lncRNA from 1 species